rnacentral:rRNA from 1 species
ACUCCUACGGGAGGCAGCAGUGGGGAAUAUUGCACAAUGGGGGAAACCCUGAUGCAGCCAUGCCGCGUGUGUGAAGAAGGCCUUCGGGUUGUAAAGCACUUUCAGCGAGGAGGAGAGGUCAGUAGCUAAUAUCUGCUGGCUGUGACGUUACUCGCAGAAGAAGCACCGGCUAACUCCGUGCCAGCAGCCGCAGUAAU